UAAUACAGAGACUGCAAGCGUUAUUCGGAUUCACUGGGCGUAAAGGGUGCGCAGGCGGCCAUGUGUGUGAGGCGUGAAAGCCCGAUGCUUAACAUCGGAAUUGCACCUCAAACUACAUGGCUAGAGCAUUGGAGAGGGUAGCGGAAUUCACGGUGUAGCAGUGAAAUGCGUAGAUAUCGUGAGGAACACCAGAGGCGAAGGCGGCUACCUGGACAAUUGCUGACGCUCAGGCACGAAAGCGUGGGGAGCAAAAGGGAUUAGAUACCCCUGUAGUCCACGCCCUAAACGGUGCACACUAGGUCUUGGCGGAUUCGACCCCACCAGGGCCCAAGCUAACGCGUUAAGUGUGCCGCCUGAGGACUACGGUCGCAAGACUA
rnacentral:rRNA from 1 species